GGACAGGGGAGGGGGGGCAUUCUUCCCUCUCUUUCUCCCCCCUCCCCCAACUCUCUAUUCCCCCUCUUUCUCCCCGUGUCUCAUUCUUCCCUCUCUGUCUCUUUCUCCCCCUCCCCAUCUCUCUAUUCCCCCUCUUUCUCCCCGUGUCUCAUUCUUCCCUCUCUGUCUCCCCCCUCCCCAUCUCUCUAUUCCCCCUCUUUCUCCC
rnacentral:lncRNA from 1 species